GUCGAACGGGGAUGCUUAUGGAAGGAGUGCUUGCACUUUGGAAAUGAGUAUCUUAGUGGCGGACGGGUGAGUAACGCGUGGGUAACCUGCCCCAUACCGGGGGAUACCACCUGGAAACAGGUGCUAAUACCGCAUAAGCGCACGGGAGCGCAUGCUCCUGUGUGAAAAACUCUGGUGGUAUGGGAUGGACCCGCGUCUGAUUAGCCAGUUGGCAGGGUAACGGCCUACCAAAGCGACGAUCAGUAGCCGGCCUGAGAGGGUGGACGGCCACAUUGGGACUGAGACACGGCCCAAACUCCUACGGGAGGCAGCAGUGGGGAAUAUUGCACAAUGGGGGAAACCCUGAUGCAGCGACGCCGCGUGAGUGAAGAAGUAUUUCGGUAUGUAAAGCUCUAUCAGCAGGAACGAGACAAGACGGUACCUGACUAAGAAGCCCCGGCUAACUACGUGCCAGCAGCCGCGGUAAUACGUAGGGGGCAAGCGUUAUCCGGAAUCACUGGGUGUAAAGGGAGCGUAGACGGCUGAGCAAGCCUGAAGUGAAAGGCGGGGGCCCAACCCCUGGACUGCUUUGGGAACUGUACGGCUGGAGUGCAGGAGAGGUAAGUGGAAUUCCUAGUGUAGCGGUGAAAUGCGUAGAUAUUAGGGGGAACACCAGUGGCGAAGGCGGCUUACUGGACUGUAACUGACGUUGAGGCUCGAAAGCGUGGGG
rnacentral:rRNA from 1 species